UAGGGAAUCUUCGGCAAUGGACGAAAGUCUGACCGAGCAACGCCGCGCGAGUGAAGAAGGUUUUCGGAUCGUAAAACUCUGUUGUUAGAGAAGAACAAGGACGUUAGUAACUGAACGUCCCCUGACGGUAUCUAACCAGAAAGCCACGGCUAACUACGUGCCAGCAGCCGCGGUAAUACGGAGGUGGCAAGCGUUGUCCGGAUUCAUUGGGCGUAAAGCGAGCGCAGGCGGUUUGUUAAGUCUGAUGUGAAAGCCCCCGGCUCAACCGGGGAGGUUCAUUGGGAACUGGGAGACUUGAGUGCAGAAGAGGAGAGUGGAAUUCCAUGUGUAGCGGUGAAAUGCGUAGAUAUAUGGAGGAAAACCAGUGGCGAAGGCGGCUCUCUGGUCUGUAACUGACGCUGAGGCUCGAAAGCGUGGGGAGCAAACAGG
rnacentral:rRNA from 1 species